UACGAAGGGGGCUAGCGUUGCUCGGAAUUACUGGGCGUAAGGCGCACGUAGGCGGCUUCUUAAGUCGGUGGUGAAAUCCUGGAGCUCAACUCCAGAACUGCCUUCGAUACUGGGGAGCUCGAGUCCGGGAGAGGUGAGUGGAACUCCUAGUGUAGAGGUGGAAUUCGUAGAUAUUAGGAAGAACACAGUGGCGAAGGCGGCUCACUGGUCCGGUACUGACGCUGAGGUGCGAAAGCGUGGGGAGCAAACAGG
rnacentral:rRNA from 1 species